rnacentral:rRNA from 1 species
GACGAACGCUGGCGGCGUGCUUAACACAUGCAAGUCGAACGAUGAAGCCGGAGCUUGCUCUGGUGAAUUAGUGGCGAACGGGUGAGUAACACGUGAGUAACCUGCCCUUGACUCUGGGAUAACUGCGGGAAACUGUAGCUAAUGCCGGAUACGACCCUCGGAGGCAUCUCCUGGGGGUGGUAAGAAUUUCGGUCAAGGAUGGACUCGCGGCCUAUCAGCUAGUUGGUGAGGUAAAGGCUCACCAAGGCGACGACGGGUAGCCGGCCUGAGAGGGUGACCGGCCACACUGGGACUGAGACACGGCCCAGACUCCUACGGGAGGCAGCAGUGGGGAAUAUUGCACAAUGGGCGCAAGCCUGAUGCAGCAACGCCGCGUGAGGGAUGACGGCCUUCGGGUUGUAAACCUCUUUUAGUAGGGAAGAAGCGAAAGUGACGGUACCUGCAGAAAAAGCACCGGCUAACUACGUGCCAGCCGCCGCCGUAA